rnacentral:rRNA from 1 species
UACGUAGGUGGCGAGCGUUGUCCGGAUUUACUGGGCGUAAAGGGCGUGCAGGCGGCCCUGUAAGUCAAAGGUGAAAUCCCUCGGCUCAACUGAGGAACUGCCUUUGAAACUGCAGGGCUUGAGGCCGGGAGGGGGUAGCGGAAUUCCCAAUGUAGCGGUGAAAUGCGUAGAUAUCUGGAGGAACACCGGUGGCGAAGGCGGCAUCCUGGACCAACACUGACACUGAUGAGCGAAAGCCAGGGGAGCAAACGGG